UCCGUAGGUGAACCUGCGGAAGGAUCAUUAAUGAAUUCACUAUGGAGUUGUUGCUGGCCUCUAGGGGCAUGUGCACGCUUCACUAGUCUUUCAACCACCUGUGAACCUUUGAUAGAUCUGUGAAGUCGUCUCUCAAGUCGUCAGACUUGGUUGCUGGGAUUUAAACGUCUCGGUGUGACUACGCAGUCUAUUUACUUGCACACCCCAAAUGUAUGUCUACGAAUGUCAUUUAAUGGGCCUUGUGCCUUUAAACCAUAAUACAACUUUCAACAACGGAUCUCUUGGCUCUCGCAUCGAUGAAGAACGCAGCGAAAUGCGAUAAGUAAUGUGAAUUGCAGAAUUCAGUGAAUCAUCGAAUCUUUGAACGCACCUUGCGCCCCUUGGUAUUCCGAGGGGCAUGCCUGUUUGAGUGUCAUUAAAUUCUCAAACUCACUUUGGUUUCUUUCCAAUUGUGAUGUUUGGAUUGUUGGGGGCUGCUGGCCUUGACAGGUCGGCUCCUCUUAAAUGCAUUAGCAGGACUUCUCAUUGCCUCUGCGCAUGAUGUGAUAAUUAUCACUCAUCAAUAGCACGCAUGAAUAGAGUCCAGCUCUCUAAUCGUCCGCAAGGACAAUUUGACAAUUUGACCUCAAAUCAGGUAGGACUACCCGCUGAACUUAAGCAUAUCAAUAAGCGGAGGA
rnacentral:rRNA from 1 species